ACAGCGUGGUGGGGGCAUUUAUGAAUAAGGUCCCUUAACCUUUCUCAUAUCUCAUAAAAAAAUUCACCAUCCAAUUGGAAAAAACUAGUUAUGGCUUUUUUAAUUU